rnacentral:rRNA from 1 species
UACGUAGGGUGCGAGCGUUGUCCGGAAUUAUUGGGCGUAAAGAGCUCGUAGGCGGUCCGUCGCGUCGAUUGUGAAAACCCGGGGCUCAACUCCGGGCCUGCAGUGGGUACGGGCAGACUAGAGUGCGGUAGGGGAGACUGGAAUUCCUGGUGUAGCGGUGAAAUGCGUAGAUAUCAGGAGGAACACCGGUGGUGUAGACGGCUUUCUGGACCGUAACUGACGCUGAGACACGAAAGCGUGGGUAGCAAACAGG